rnacentral:rRNA from 1 species
AUUGAACGCUGGCGGCAGGCCUAACACAUGCAAGUCGAACGGUAACAGGAAGCAGCUUGCUGCUUUGCUGACGAGUGGCGGACGGGUGAGUAAUGUCUGGGAAACUGCCCGAUGGAGGGGGAUAACUACUGGAAACGGUAGCUAAUACCGCAUAACGUCGCAAGACCAAAGAGGGGGACCUUAGGGCCUCUUGCCAUCGGAUGUGCCCAGAUGGGAUUAGCUUGUAGGUGGGGUAACGGCUCACCUAGGCGACGAUCCCUAGCUUGUCUGAGAGGAUGACCAGCCACACUGGAACUGAGACACGGUCCAGACUCCUACGGGAGGCAGCAGUGGGGAAUAUUGCACAAUGGGCGCAAGCCUGAUGCAGCCAUGCCGCGUGUAUGAAGAAGGCCUUCGGGUUGUAAAGUACUUUCAGCGGGGAGGAAGGGAGUAAAGUUAAUACCUUUGCUCAUUGACGUUACCCGCAGAAGAAGCACCGGCUAACUCCGUG